CGUAGCCGAUGGAAAACAGGUUAAUAUUCCUGUACUUUUUUUAUGUUAUGACAAGGGACGAAGGAUGAAGACGUAGGUCUAGAUAAUGGAAUUCUGGUAAAAAUUUUCAAAGCAAUGAGAAUAUG
rnacentral:rRNA from 13 species